CGAACGCUGGCGGCGUGCCUAAUACAUGCAAGUAGAACGCUGAAGGAGGAGCUUGCUUCUCUGGAUGAGUUGCGAACGGGUGAGUAACGCGUAGGUAACCUGCCUGGUAGCGGGGGAUAACUAUUGGAAACGAUAGCUAAUACCGCAUAAUAGUAGAUGUUGCAUGACAUUUACUUAAAAGGUGCAAUUGCAUCACUACCAGAUGGACCUGCGUUGUAUUAGCUAGUUGGUGGGGUAACGGCUCACCAAGGCGACGAUACAUAGCCGACCUGAGAGGGUGAUCGGCCACACUGGGACUGAGACACGGCCCAGACUCCUACGGGAGGCAGCAGUAGGGAAUCUUCGGCAAUGGACGGAAGUCUGACCGAGCAACGCCGCGUGAGUGAAGAAGGUUUUCGGAUCGUAAAGCUCUGUUGUAAGAGAAGAACGAGUGUGAGAGUGGAAAGUUCACACUG
rnacentral:rRNA from 1 species